UUCUUUUUCUUGUUCUUUCUCUUUUUUCUUCCUUCUUUCUUUCCUAUUUUUUUCUUCUCUCUUCCUUCCUUUCUUUCAUUAUUAUUCUCCUUCUUUCCUUCAUCUUUCAUUCUUUCAUUUUACUAUUUUGUUUUCUUAAUCUUUCAUUCCUUUCUUUUUUUCUCUUUCUUCUUUUCUUCUUGUAUGAAUGAGUUUUGGAGUUUUGACUCCCUUUGUCUCAUUUUCUCAUAGAAAUAGAAUGGAAUGGCCGAGAUACCCUCUGUCCCACCAAGAUAUAAAGCCUUAGUACCUAUUGGUUGCAUCAAGAUGGGG
rnacentral:lncRNA from 1 species